CUCCCUCCAGGUUACCUCCAGCUCACAGUGUGGCUGGGGCUUUUGGGCCUCCAGUUUUCUUCCUGUCGAGCGGGUUCAGGAAGAGCAGGCUCUGCGUCACUGGGGCCCCAGCUGGUGAUGGGGGCCUGGACACGUGUCUAGUGCACUGCUGCCCUCCAGGGAUGAAGCUAGUCUCAGGACAUUGCCCGGGCUCCUGUCACGGCGGCUCUGUGGUUGGUCCACGCCUGCUCUGGCCGGCCACAGCUCUGGGCCUUUUUCACUGGCCUUCUUUGAGCUCUCCCUGGACUUUGGAGCAUCAUGAGAUUUUUCCAUGCUUCUGGCUCUGUCGCUCACAAGCUCAACAGUGACUUGGGGUCAGGGUGGUAAAGCAAAUAGGUGCCUUCCUGGGAAUGGGCAGUGGCGGGGGGUCAGGGAGAGGGAGGCUAGAGAAUAGAUAGGACCUCCUGGUAGUGGCAAGAACAGCCCCAGCUCCCGCCUUCCUGGAACCCUUCUGCUGAGGAGCCCCCGGGCUGAGGAGGAGGCCUCAUGGGGGCCAUUUCACAGACCAAGAGGCUGAGUCACUUGCCUAAGGUUGGGCCUCUGGUGAGUGACAGGCUGCAGCUGGACAGGAAAAGAACUCCUGCGGGGAGCCGCUAAUCCCAGAGUAAACAGAUGACCUCGUGGUGCCUUUCUCCCGGAGGCCUGACCUUCACCUGGAAGCAACUCCUCCCCCUCCUGGGUCUUCUGCGGACACUGCCCUGGCAGAGCUGGCUUUGCAUCCUGGCCGCCUCCCUUACUAGCUGUGUGACAGAGGCCAGCAAGUGCACCUUUCUGAGCCUCAGUUUCCUCACUUGGAAAGCAGACGUUCCUGGCAGCCCUGAGGGCUGUGCACACGGGCCAGGCUGAUGGAGUUAACUGCAAACACGCUCAGGAAGUGUAAACAGCCCUCCUCCGGGCCAGGACGACUGGCAGACUCACGGGCAGCUUGCACAAUCCUGUGUGCUGCUAUGACACUCAUUUUUGGGGCAUGGAGUCAUCUCUGCCAUGGGCCUCUCCCUCCUUGCCCUGGAUCGUCUUUGUAACACAGAUGGUACUGCGUGUCAGUAGUCAGUGGGAAGAAAUUCAGACCCCAGCCCCACCCCGAAGCUCAUUCUGAUUUAGAGCUGCCCAAGGACCCGAGGAGGCUGGAGCUGAAAGGGAGCCUGGGAAUUACCUAGCCCAACCUCUUCAUUUUCUAGAUGAAGGACCUGCGACCUAAAGAGGUGGGGACACUAAGGCCAUGUAAGUAUGUCAAAGCUUGGCACAAAGCUGGGUGUCCUGGGAUGGCAGCUGGUUUCAAAACCAGCCAAACAAGGCCUGUAAAUCUUGGCACAAUGGACUGUCCAGCCAUGUGAACUUGGAUCAGGGACUUCUUCCUGAGUCUCAGUCCCCUCAUCUGCAGGGCAUGGCAUGCAAGGGUGUUGUGCAGAACUCAGGGAGUGCUGAUAGUUAAAUGCCUAGCACAGUGCCAGGCUCAUACUAGGGGCUUCCUUCUCCUGCCUCCCUCUGCCCUUUCUUUGCAAACUU
rnacentral:lncRNA from 1 species